rnacentral:piRNA from 1 species
UAGAGAGAUAACUCAUAGUCAACAGC